rnacentral:rRNA from 1 species
AUUGAACGCUGGCGGCAUGCCUUACACAUGCAAGUCGAACGGCAGCACGGGAGCAAUCCUGGUGGCGAGUGGCGAACGGGUGAGUAAUAUAUCGGAACGUGCCCGGUCGUGGGGAUAACGUAGCGAAAGCUACGCUAAUACCGCAUACGAUCUACGGAUGAAAGCGGGGGGAUCGCAAGACCUCGCGCGAUUGGAGCGGCGAUAUCAGAUUAGGAGUUGGUGAGGUAAAGGCUCACCAAGCCGACGAUCUGUAGCUGGUCUGAGAGGACGACCAGCACACUGGGACUGAGACACGGCCCAGACUCCUACGGGAGGCAGGCAGUGGGGAAUUUUGGACCAAAUGGGCGCAAGCCUGAUCCAGCAAUGCCGCGUGCAGGAU